GUGAAGAACGUAGCGAAAUGCGAUAAGUAAUGUGAAUUGCAGAAUUCAGUGAAUCAUCGAAUCUUUGAACGCAUCUUGCGCUCCUUGGUAUUCUGAGGAGCAUGCCUGUUUGAGUGUCAUUAAAUUCUCAACUACACUGACUUUGAAUUGGUGUGGCUUGGAUUUGGGGGGAAAAUUGUUGUGGGCUUUUUGUAUAGUCUGCUCCCCUGAAAUUGAUUAGCGGUACCUUUGUGGAACUGUCUACAGGUGUGAUAAUUAUCUACAUCUUAGACAUCUGCUGGAAUGCUGCUCUCUAAACCUUACUUGUAUUGACAAUCUUGACCUCAAAUCAGGUAGGACUACCCGCUGAACUUAAGCAUAUCAAUAAGCGGAGGA
rnacentral:misc_RNA from 1 species